UAGGGAAUAUUGGGCAAUGGAGGCAACUCUGACCCAGCCACGCCGCGUGGAGGAUGAAGGUGCUAUGCAUCGUAAACUUCUUUUGUCAAGGGAGAAAGUGCUUGAUUAAUCAGGUUUUGACGGUACUUGGCGAAUAAGCAUCGGCUAACUACGUG
rnacentral:rRNA from 1 species